rnacentral:snRNA from 1 species
AUCGGUUCUCGGCCUUUUGGCUAAGAUCAAGUGUAGGAAGUAUUUCGUAUUACCAAAUAAAUGAAAUUUUAUCUCUUCAAAUAUAUAUCUCCUUUUUUUUUUUUCCCUCCAGGGUUAUUUCUGGGCUCGGUGCCUGCACCAUGAAUCCACCACUCCUGGAUGCCAUU